UGGCGACGAAGGAUGAAAGAGGAUUUGGAAAACGAAUAAACAGAUAUUUUGCCUCAUCACAAAGUUUAAGGGCUAAAUUGUGAGCAAAGUCAAAGUUUGCAUGUAUUUUGAAGCACAGAGAUUGUAUAGUCAUGCUUCCUACGGGCAACGGAAAGAGUUUUUAAGUAAAUUUUCUUACUUAAUUUAACAUUUUAAAAGUCACUUGAAACUGGAGAUACACCUAUAAUUUUCAGGAGUGGAAACAUGCUAAUGUAGCCCCAGACUUCAAAAUGGUGGAAAAAUACAAACCUGUAAACUACAGGCCAAUAUCUUUAACCUGCAUACGUUGCAAGCUCAUGGAGCAUCCCAGACAAAGGUUAGUGUCUGAUCAAACAGUAGUUUGGACUCCAGUCUGAAAAACCCUAGAUUCUGACAAUGUUUCUUUCAAUUUGUGACUGGGCCAAACAAAUAACACGGUGGAGGGAACUCUUAAAACACACAGACAGUGACACAGAAAAAGCCACUACAAGCAUCUGAAGAUGAAUCUGAGAAUGGCACUACAGAUAUAGGUUGUGAACCAGCUCUAGAGUUUCAACAUACAGAUCUUAGCCUAUGGUACAUGUAUUCAUUCUCGUCCCUGGUGACACUUGCUGACGGAAGGAAAAUCAUAUUUCUUACAUUUACAUGUUUUGUUCAUGCCUGUUCCUUUGCAUUUGCACCCAUGCUUGUUUUGCAGCAGCAUGCAAUGAAAUUCCUUUUGUUUUACAAAUUACAUUUUCAAUUUUGUAUGUCAAAAGUUCUAUUGCACUCAUAACCUAACAAUAUGCCAAAUAAUAGUUUGUAUAAAAUUGCAUCCUUAAUAAUAAUAUCAGCAACCCUACAUCCAGAGUUACUCUUCUCACAAUAACAAAUAUAAAAAAGAAGAUGUGGUAUGAUUGCCAAUGAG